rnacentral:rRNA from 1 species
GGUAAACGCUAGCGGCAGGCUUAACACAUGCAAGUCGAGGGGCAGCAUAGAUUGUAGCAAUACAAUUGGUGGCGACCGGCGCACGGGUGCGUAACGCGUAUGCAACCUACCCGUCACAGGGGGAUAAUCCGGAGAAAUCUGGUCUAAUACCCCAUAACAUAUGGAUCGGCAUCGGUUCAUGUUGAAAUUUUCGGAGGUGACGGAAGGGCAUGCGUAGCAUUAGCUUGUUGGUGAGGUAACGGCUCACCAAGGCGACGAUGCUUAGGGGGACUGAGAGGUUUUCCCCCCACACUGGUACUGAGACACGGACCAGACUCCUACGGGAGGCAGCAGUGAGGAAUAUUGGUCAAUGGGCGCAAGCCUGAACCAGCCAUGCCGCGUGCGGGAUGACGGCUCUAUGAGUUGUAAACUGCUUUUGUACGAGGGUAAAGUGGGUUACGUGUAACCUUUUGAAAGUAUCGUACGAAUAAGGAUCGGCUAACUCCGUGCCAGCCGCCGCCGUAA